CGCUGUAGCAAUACAGAGCGGCAGACGGGUGAGUAACACGUGGGAAUCUACCCAACCCUACGGAACAACUCCGGGAAACUGGAGCUAAUACCGUAUACGCCCUUCGGGGGAAAGAUUUAUCGGGGAUGGAUGAGCCCGCGUUGGAUUAGCUAGUUGGUGGGGUAAAGGCCUACCAAGGCGACGAUCCAUAGCUGGUCUGAGAGGAUGAUCAGCCACAUUGGGACUGAGACACGGCCCAAACUCCUACGGGAGGCAGCAGUGGGGAAUAUUGGACAAUGGGCGCAAGCCUGAUCCAGCCAUGCCGCGUGAGUGAUGAAGGCCUUAGGGUUGUAAAGCUCUUUCACCGAUGAAGAUAAUGACGGUAGUCGGAGAAGAAGCCCCGGCUAACUUCGUGCCAGCAGCCGCGGUAAUACGAAGGGGGCUAGCGUUGUUCGGAAUUACUGGGCGUAAAGCGCACGUAGGCGGAUAUUUAAGUCAGGGGUGAAAUCCCGCAGCUCAACUGCGGAACUGCCUUUGAUACUGGGUAUCUUGAGUAUGGAAGAGGUUAGUGGAAUUGCGAGUGUAGAGGUGAAAUUCGUAGAUAUUCGCAGGAACACCAGUGGCGAAUGCGGCUAACUGGUCCAUAACUGACGCUGAGGUGCGAAAGCGUGGGGAGCAAACAGGAUUAGAUACCCUGGUAGUCCACGCCGUACACGAUGAAUGUUAGCCGUCGGCAAGUUUACUUGUCGGUGGCGCAGCUAACGCAUUAAACAUUCCGCCUGGGGAGUACGGUCGCAAGAUUAAAACUCAUAUGAAUUGACUGGG
rnacentral:rRNA from 1 species